UACGUAGGUGGCGAGCGUUGUCCGGAUUUACUGGGCGUAAAGAGCGCGCAGGCGGCUGGUCAAGUCCGAUGUGAAAGCUCCCGGCUUAACUGGGAAAUUGCAUCGGAAACUGAUCGGCUGGAAGGUGGGAGAGGGUAGCGGAAUUCCCGGUGUAGUGGUGAAAUGCGUAGAUAUCGGGAGGAACACCAGUGGCGAAGGCGGUUCUCUGGGACGGUACUGACGCUGAGA
rnacentral:rRNA from 1 species